UACGUAGGGACCAAGCGUUGUUCGGAUUUACUGGGCGUAAAGGGCGCGUAGGCGGCAAAUUAAGUCAUCUGUGAAAUCUCCGAGCUUAACUCGGAACGGUCAGGUGAUACUGAUCUGCUAGAGUGCGGAAGGGGCAAUCGGAAUUCUUGGUGUAGCGGUGAAAUGCGUAGAUAUCAAGAGGAACACCUGAGGUGAAGACGGGUUGCUGGGCCGACACUGACGCUGAGGCGCGAAAGCGUGGGGAGCAAACAGG
rnacentral:rRNA from 1 species